rnacentral:lncRNA from 1 species
UACAAUGGCCUAACAUUAUGUUUCUAUGUUGCAGUUUCAUAGUUUACUAGUUUCAAGUGCCUCUUGAUGACACUUUAUGCUACUAAGUCCAAACAUAGUAUAAUGCUUCCAAUACACGAAUAUGAGCUAAAUUAGCAUACUAGACGAGAAUCUCAUUCGUCCACAUGAACACUCCUCACAUGCAUGAAAAUAACCCUGAUUACUCUACUAUAUAGAGUGAAAUUUAACUUACACAUAAGGCAUGCAUUUUAGGUGUUCGAAAAUUCACAUAAAUUUCAAUUAGCAUAGAAAAGCAU